ACGUCAAAUCAUCAUGCCCCUUAUGUCCUGGGCUACACACGUACUACAAUGGUCAUAACAGAGGGAAGCAGAGCAGUGAUGCCGAGCAAAACCCAAAAAGUGACCUCAGUUCGGAUUGAAGGCUGAAAUUCGCCUUCAUGAAGUUGGAAUUGCUAGUAAUGGCAGGUCAGCAUACUGCCGUGAAUACGUUCCCGGGCCUU
rnacentral:rRNA from 1 species